rnacentral:rRNA from 1 species
GCCAUCAUUUAGUUGGGCACUCUAAUGAGACUGCCGGUGACAAGACCCGGAGGAAGGUGGGGAUGACGUCAAGUCCUCAUGGCCCUUAUGGGUAGGGCUUCACACGUCAUACAAUGGUCGGUACAGAGGGUUGCCAAGCCGCGAGGUGGAGCCAAUCCCUUAAAGCCGAUCGUAGUCCGGAUCGUAGUCUGCAACUCGACUACGUGAAGUCGGAAUCGCUAGUAAUCGCAGAUCAGCAUGCUGCGGUGAAUACGUUCCCGGGUCUU